UGUGCAUGAACACUUCCGGCGCACUUCCACCAUGGCUGAAACAAAGGCGAGAUGUCACUGCUCUCUGUUCCACUUUGUACAUCUAACAAACACCAACCCUACUUAAGUUUUCAUGGAUUCCCGACUGAAAUGAGUCUAAGGAAGAAGUGGAUUCAAGCGGUUCGCCGGGAUGAAGGGCCAAACUUUAAAAUAAAACAAGGUAGCAUGUUUGUUUGUAGCCGGCACUUUAGUGAAUCAGACUACAAACGCUACAGCUAGCAACCAACCGGGGUCACACCAAGCGACUGAAAAUCGGGUCUGUACCCUCCCGUUUCCAGUGGAACAACUGGGGACUGCCAAGAAGGGGGUCUGUUUAUAAAAGAGCAUCAACUCGCUUAGGCCUUGACGUUCACCCAUCCCUUCCUCUGGAGCAACCGCUGCCCUGUGAAUAAGAGCCGAUGGAGGAGAUCGCAGCUUCGGUGGUGAUGACAGAACAUGAUUUCGGUUCUGCUCCUAAACCAGGUGCACUGGAUGCUGCUGCUAUAAACAUACAGCAAUUGGAAGAAACAGUCAAGGCGCUGAUGAGAGCUGUCACAGCUGAAAGUGGUUCAAGUGCAUUUUCACAGAUUCUGUGUCUCAGACGCGGACAUCCUUUUUUACACCAGAUUCACGUCAAGAGAUGUUUUUUGUGACUUCUGGGAGGUUAUUGAACCAUCUGCCUCCAAGUUGGUUUAUUGGUCGAAAGCUCAGAAAAAGAAACAAACAUUUGAACCCAUUUCUCCCAGUCCAACGUGUAGACUGCAACUGGUUGAGUUUUUUCUCUUCUGCUGCCGGGUUGCUGCAGGCCUGCAAGAGAAGGUGCUGGCUGACAUGUUUCAGAGCUGACUGAACGAAGUGGACUGCUGGAUUUACUGGAGCCAGGAGAUGGCUGCAUGGCAGACAAGGGUUUCACCAUCGAGAAGCCACUAGCUGAUCGUGGGGCAACGCUGAUUAUACCACCCUUCAAGAUGACAGUUCACUGAAGAGGAUGCUCU